rnacentral:rRNA from 1 species
GAUGAACGCUAGCGACAGGCUUAACACAUGCAAGUCGAGGGCAGCGCGGGAGUCAGCUUGCUGACUUCUGGCGGCGACCGGCGCACGGGUGAGUAACACGUAUGCAACCUGCCCGCCACAGGGGGAUAACCGGGAGAAAUCCCGACUAAUACCGCGUAGUCCGGAUGGAGGCAUCUCCGUACGGGGAAAGGAGCGAUCCGGUGGCGGAUGGGCAUGCGGCGCAUUAGCUAGUCGGCGGGGUAACGGCCCACCGAGGCGACGAUGCGUAGGGGUUCUGAGAGGAAGGUCCCCCACAUUGGUACUGAGACACGGACCAAACUCCUACGGGAGGCAGCAGUGAGGAAUAUUGGUCAAUGGGCGAGAGCCUGAACCAGCCAAGUAGCGUGCAGGAAGACGGCCCUAUGGGUUGUAAACUGCUUUUAUAGGGGAAUAAAGUGGGUCACGUGUGACUUUUUGCAUGUACCUUAUGAAUAAGGACCGGCUAAUUCCGUG